UCUCUCUCUAUGUUUAUAGAUCACAAAAUGUAUCUGUAUCUAUAUCACUUGGUGAUACACAGACCUAUUUCGCUCAGCGAAAUAGGUAUGUCUUAGGGUUACUUCUGAAUGUGGUUACAGAUUGUGAAGUCCUCAGCUCCUGUGGGAGGCUGUUCCAGAGGCGAGGACCAUUGACACUUAAAGCCGCCUCCCCGUAGGUCCCUGUCCUCACCCGGGAAACAACUGAAAUGCCUGUGCCAGAGGACCCUAAGGAUCUAGAGGGGGAAUACACUAAAAUAAUGUAGUGUAUGCUGUAGUGGGGUUUGAAAUGAACAACCGGGUUAGUAAAUGGUGAGAAGCAGAAAGAAUGAAGGCAAGUGAGCGGAUAGAGCAGAGCUGAAGUCGGCUGCCACAUCAGCCAGCCUGGCCCCUACAAUGUAGGAAUUCCCAGGAUGGCAUCAAAA
ensembl:lncRNA